rnacentral:sRNA from 1 species
CCUUUAGCGAAGAAAAAUACUAUAUUACAAUGAUAACUAUAAUUUAAUCCAAUUAACUUAAUCUUAAUAACUUGUAUUGUGAUUUUAAACUCGAACUGUCAUCUUUUUUAUUAGCUAAGUUUCAUGUCAAAUGAUUUAUUUUUAAAAUGAAUACAUGCCAAAUUAAAUUGGUUUGUUUUUGUUUGGUGAGAAAAUAUGAGACUAUAUAUUUGUUUAUACAGAGGUGGGCAUUUACAAUUCUUAAAUCAUUUCCUCUAUAAUUAAAAUUUGAUUAUAAAAUUUCUUUAAUUAUUCUUAAAUCAUUUUUAAAUAUUGUAUAAUUUCUUAAAUCGUUUUUAAAUUUGAAGGAAUAAGUAAUCCUUUUUUAUAGAUAUUGUACCUGUAAAUUAGAAUUAGUAAAAUAUUUUUUAAUUGAUAUUUUGUUUAGUAAGAUACAAAAAAAUUUCUUAUCAUUAUCUUCUUUACUUUUUAAGAAUUGUAUUAUAUAAGAUAUAUACUAAAAUUUCUUGAUAGAUGUUUUUUCUAAAUAAAUAAAAGAAAACUUUAUUUUACACGUGUCAAAUUUGAGAUCGAUAAAUUUGACAUGUGUCACGAUUCUAUGUGUUACUAACUUUGAAAAUAAUACUUUAUGUAAUACUAGAUAAGGUCCGCCUAAAUAGGCGAGUGUAAGAUAUAAAUGUAAAUUUUUAUUGAUAGUAUUCAUAUUUUAUAAUUAUUAUACAUUUUAGUUAUACGCACUCAAUCUUAUCGAUGAUUUUUGAAUUCUUAAUAGUAACUCACACAUUUUUUCUAUAUUUAAUUUAGUAAUGAGAAUAAGAAAAACAAAUUAUAUCUUACACAUUCUCUUUUGCAAUACAGUUUAACUAUCUAUUUCAUCAUAAUAAACUUGAUUUUAAUUUUAUACACUUCACCUUAAGUAAUAACAGUUGUAUAUCAAAACAAUAUUUAUAUCAUAUCAAAACUAUAUUUUGUAAUCUCAUAAGUUAAUUUUAACUCAUGUGAACUAAUUCUUUUUUUAA